AAUAGGCUAAUUAAGAGCGUAAGGGGAAUGCCUUGGCUCUCAGAGGCGAUGAAGGACGUGAUAAGCUGCGAUAAGCUGUGGGGAGUGGCACAAACACUUUGAUCCGCAGAUUUCCGAAUGGGGUAACCCGGCAUAUUGAAGAUAUGUCACACUGUAAAGUGAGCGAACCUGGUGAACUGAAACAUCUAAGUAACCAGAGGAAUAGAAAACAAAAGUGAUUCCGCUAGUAGUGGCGAGCGAACGUGGAAUAGCCUGAACCUAUGUUGUUAAGGCAAUAUAGGGGUUGUAGGACCUCAACAUUUAAUGCUAAUAGAACUAGAAUUUACUGGAAAGUAAAACCAUA
rnacentral:rRNA from 1 species